GUGUCAGCAGCCGCGGUAAUACGGAGGGUGCGAGCGUUGUUCGGAAUUACUGGGCGUAAAGCGCGCGCAGGCGGAUGUGCAAGUCGGUGGUGAAAUCCUAGGGCUCAACCCUGGGACUGCUUCCGAUACUGCAUGUCUAGGGACCGGUAGAGGUCGGUGGAAUUCCCGGUGUAGCGGUGGAAUGCGUAGAUAUCGGGAAGAACACCUGUGGCGAAGGCGGCCGACUGGGCCGGAUCCGACGCUGAGGCGCGAAAGCGUGGGGAGCAAACAGGAUUAGAUACCCUGGUAGUCCACGCCGUAAACGAUGGGUGCUAGAUGUCGGGGGGAGCGACCCCUUCGGUGUCACAGUUAACGCGUUAAGCACCCCGCCUGGGGAGUACGGCCGCAAGGCUGAA
rnacentral:rRNA from 1 species